rnacentral:rRNA from 1 species
AUUGAACGCUGGCGGCGGGCCUAACACAUGCAAGUCGAACGAGGGGCGGACGGGAGAGACAUGUCUGGGAAACUGCUUGAUGGAGGGGGAUAACUAGUGGAACCGGUAGCUAUUACCGCAUACCAUCAGCUUAGCCCAGAUGGGAUUAGCUUUUUGGUGGGGUAACGGCUAACCAAGGCGACGAUCCCUAGCUGGUCUGAGAGGGUGACCAGCCACACUGGAACUGAGACACGGUCCAGACUCCUACGGGAGGCAGCAGUGGGGAAUAUUGCGCAAUGGGCGAAAGCCUGAUGCAGCAAUGCCGCGUGUAUGAAGAAGGCCUUCGGGUUGUAAAAUACUGUCAGCGGAGAGGCGUUACCCGCAGAGAAAGCCCCGGCUAACUCCGUGCCAGCAGCCGCGGUAAUAC